rnacentral:lncRNA from 1 species
UGGUGGAAGGUGACAUUUUCCGGUCGGAAUGACGGAGCUCUAAAUAAAAGGUAUGAAAUCCAAUCCCUUGUCUUUCUUAAGCGUAGGGAUGAAAGCCAAGAAUGAAGUCUUCUCAUCUCAUAUGGUAGCCUAUUCUUUACCUCUCAUUCUAGGGUUGUGUGCAACAUUUCUAUGAUGUUAUAGAUAGGUGAGUUGAGCAAUACUAGUUUUCGAGGAUUUCCACAAGUCCGUCCAAGUUGAG